rnacentral:rRNA from 1 species
UGGGGAAUCUUCCGCAAUGGACGAAAGUCUGACGGAGCAACGCCGCGUGUAUGAUGAAGGUCUUCGGAUUGUAAAGUACUGUCUUUGGGGAAGAAUGGUCUCUUUGAGAAUAUUGAGGAGACAUGACGGUACCCAAGGAGGAAGCCCCGGCUAACUACGUGCCAGCAGCCGCGGUAAUACGUAGGGGGCAAGCGUUGUCCGGAAUUAUUGGGCGUAAAGGGCGCGUAGGCGGAUAGUUAAGUCCGGUGUGAAAGAUCAGGGCUCAACCCUGAGAGUGCAUCGGAAACUGGUUAUCUUGAGGACAGGAGAGGAAAGUGGAAUUCCACGUGUAGCGGUGAAAUGCGUAGAUAUGUGGAGGAACACCAGUGGCGAAGGCGACUUUCUGGACUGUAACUGACGCUGAGGCGCGAAAGCGUGGGGAGCAAACA